rnacentral:rRNA from 1 species
CCCUUAGAUGUUCUGGGCCGCACGCGUGCUACACUGAGUGGAUCAGCGGGUCAGGUUGCGCGAAAGCGUUUCCUAAUCUUUAAAUCCGCUCGUGAUGGGGAUUGACGGUUGCAAUUUUCUGUCAUGAACGAGGAAUACCUUGUAAGCGCGGGUCAUCAUCCCGCGCUGAAUACGUCCCUGCCCUUUGUACACACCGCCCGUCGCUCCUACCGAUUGAGUGGUCCGGUGAGGCUUUGGGAUCUGAGCGGAAAGAGCGUUUCGCUGUUUCUGCUCGGAAAGCUCAGUCGAACCUUAUCAUUUAGAGGAAGGAGGAGUCGUAACA